AACGAACGCUGGCGGCAGGCUUAACACAUGCAAGUCGAACGGAUCCUUCGGGAUUAGUGGCAGACGGGUGAGUAACGCGUGGGAACGUACCCUUUGCUACGGAAUAACUCAGGGAAACUUGAGCUAAUACCGUAUGUGCCCUACGAGGGAAAGAUUUAUCGGCAAAGGAUCGGCCCGCGUUGGAUUAGCUAGUUGGUGGGGUAAUGGCCUACCAAGGCGACGAUCCAUAGCUGGUCUGAGAGGAUGAUCAGCCACACUGGGACUGAGACACGGCCCAGACUCCUACGGGAGGCAGCAGUGGGGAAUAUUGGACAAUGGGCGCAAGCCUGAUCCAGCCAUGCCGCGUGAGUGAUGAAGGUCUUAGGAUUGUAAAGCUCUUUCACCGGUGAAGAUAAUGACGGUAGCCGGAGAAGAAGCCCCGGCUAACUUCGUG
rnacentral:rRNA from 1 species